rnacentral:rRNA from 1 species
AAUGAACGCUGGCGGUAUGCCUAACACAUGCAAGUCGAGCGAAAACACGAUGAGAGCGUGCUCUUACGGGUAGCGGGUGACGGACGGGUAAGGCGUACGUCAGCAACUACUUUUUCGGGGGGGACAUCGGGGAGAAGCUGACGAUAAUACCGAAUACGACGUACGGGAGAAAUCAGGAGAUAAACGGACCUUGCGCGAUUGAAUUAGACGACGUCGGAUUAGCUAGUUGGCGGGGUAAAGGAACACCAAGGCGACGAUCCGUAGCGGGUCUGAGAGGAUGAUCGGCCACACUGGAACUGAGACACGGUCCAGACUCCUACGGGAGGCAGCAGUGGGGAAUAUUGCACAAUGGGCGCAAGCCUGAUCCAGCCAUACCGCGUGAGUGAAGAAGGCCUUCGGGUCGUAAAGCUCUUUUGUUGGGAAAGAAAAGCAGCAUGUUAAUCCCUCGAUGUUCUGACGGUACCCAAACAAUAAGCACCGGCUAACUUCGUG